AUCGGAUUGAGAUUUAGCCAUGCGAGUCGAACGUCCCCCUGUUGCGGGGGGCGUGGCGUACGGCUCAGUAACACGUAGUCAACCUGCCCUGGAGACACGGACAACCCCGGGAAACUGGGACUAAUCCGUGAUAGGUCACCUCAUCUGGAAGGAGAGAUGGCCCAAAGGGGCGCGCGGGCUUCUUCUGCGCGUUCGCUCCAGGAUGGGACUGCGACCGAUCAGGCUGUUGGCGGGGUAAAGGCCCACCAAACCUGUAACCGGUACGGGCCUUGAGAGAGGUGGCCCGGAGAUGGACACUGAGAAAAGGGUCCAGGUCCUACGGGGCGCAGCAGGCGCGAAACCUUCGCAAUGCGCGAAAGCGUGACGAGGUUAAUCCGAGUGAUUUCCGCUGAGGAGACCUUUUGUCGGCUGUAAAUAGGCCGGCGAAUAAGGGGAGGGCAAGCCUGGUGU
rnacentral:rRNA from 1 species